rnacentral:rRNA from 1 species
GACGAACGCUGGCGGCGUGCCUAAUACAUGCAAGUCGAGCGGACGGAUGGGAGCUUGCUCCCAGACCGUCAGCGGCGGACGGGUGAGUAACACGUGGGCAACCUGCCUGUAAGACUGGGAUAACUCCGGGAAACCGGGGCUAAUACCGGAUAACUCUUUCCCUCACAUGAGGGAAAGCUGAAAGAUGGCAUCUCGCUAUCACUUACAGAUGGGCCCGCGGCGCAUUAGCUAGUUGGUGAGGUAACGGCUCACCAAGGCGGCGAUGCGUAGCCGACCUGAGAGGGUGAUCGGCCACACUGGGACUGAGACACGGCCCAGACUCCUACGGGAGGCAGCAGUAGGGAAUCUUCCGCAAUGGACGAAAGUCUGACGGAGCAACGCCGCGUGAGUGAUGAAGGUUUUCGGAUCGUAAAACUCUGUUGUCAGGGAAGAACAAGUACCGGAGUAACUGCCGGUACCUUGACGGUACCUGACCAGAAAGCCACGGCUAACUACGUG